ACAAAAUUGUCAGUUCUCCAUACACGCUGCAACCAACUGAUAAUCCUAGAGUAUCUCUGGCCACAGGUUUGCUCACACAAGAUAAUUAUUCGACGUGGAUGAGGGCCAUGAGAAAUGCCUUAUUGUUUAAAUCAAAGUUAGGUUUCGUUAAUGGUAGUCUUAAGUGACCGACAACAAACUCUAUAGACGAAGCUGUCUGGAUUAUGGGAAAUUCCAUGGUAAUAUCUUGGAUUUUCAACUCGAUUCAUCCCUCUCUUCGCAGUAGUGUAGAUUUUUUUAUACGACAAGUGAACUUUGGAAAGAUUUGGAGGAGUGAUUUUUACAAGGGAAUGCUCCUCGAGUUCACCAACUGAAGUUGGAGAUAGUAAAUACACAACAACAUGAUCAAACAAUGAGUGUUUACUUCUCAAAAUUGAAGGGAUUAUGGGAUGAGUAUGGAUCAUAUUCUCAAUUACCAAACUGCAGUUGUGGUACUAUUAAGGAAUACAUAGCAGAAAGGGAAAAAGAGGAGGUUCAUCAAUUCUUUAUGUGAUUGAAUGACCAAUUUAAAGUUGUUCGAUCUAAGAUCUUAAAUACUGAACCAUUACCAACUCUUUCUCCUGCGUAUGUAUUAGUUUCACAGGAAGAACGACAACAACUCACCAAAAGCAAAGGAAAUAAUUUAUUGGAGAAGGCUACAUUUGCUUCAAAGAGCAACACCAAGAAUUUCAACUCUCGUCAAUUGUUAGGUAAUCAUGAUGUCCCAAAAUUAUUUUGUGAUCACUACAAACGGUGGAGACACACCAAGGAAAAAUGUCUUGAACUACAUGACUAUCCAAAUUGGAGGGAAACAAUAGAAAAGGAAAAGGACUUAACCACGAGGAAGCUAAUUGGCAUGGGUAAACUGAAGAAUAGCCUUUAUUAUUUUCAAAGUCAAGCACUAGUUUUAACUCUUUUGUCAAAUAAAGACCAGACAGUUUUGUGGCAUCAACAUCUAGGUCAUGCGUCUUUUAGUCGUUUGUCUUUCAUUUCAGAACUUCAAUUUUUAAUUUUAAUAAGUUAGAUGACUAUUGUGAUGCUUUCCACCGAGCUAAGCAAAUUCGAAAGUCAUUUCAUGUUAGUUCUAUUAAAUUUAAAGAAGCUCUUAAUUUGAUUCA